GCGAGCGCCUAUCCAGAGAUCUGCCCGUGCCUAGAUCUGGGGACAACGCCAGCGUAGGGAAAACCGCUCGUAGGGAAUCCGUUCGGAUGGUAGUGAUGAUGAUGAUAAUCAUGUCAUAUAACACCUGAGACUGUGGUCGAAGAAAUUGGAAACUUUUUAGUAGAAGGAUCAGACACAAAAAGGGACGUCUCAAACUCAGCUAACUGGUUUAUUUCUCGACUAUCCUAUAUCAUGAUUGACUUGCCCACUGGCGCCAACCUCCUCGCUGUUUUCAACGGUUCUCAGGUGCUCAGGUUGCCGGAGCGGCGUGUUUGAACCGUUUGAACCACAGGCACCACAGGUUUGAACCGUUUCAACGGGAGUAAUGGCAAAACGGACGGAGUAGCACUGCGUGGCCUCGCAAUCCCAGCGACCCGACGAGCUCGCAAAGCGGUGCUCGGAAGACGACGCUCCCAAAGCCGACGACGCGCACUCACCUCUGUGGACAGCGAAGAAACAUCGUCGCACUGUGACAACGGCGACUAGUACACGGCGACUAGUACACGGCAUAAGUACAAGUGCAUGAUUUGUGAGAUGUGCUUCAAGAAAAUCUACAACUUAAAGAGGCACCUAAAGGAGGUUCACGGGGACGCUGACACCAGCUGGAUCACACUGUCCGCUGCCGCCUUGCAUGCGAUCUGUGUCCAACAGCUUUUGCAUUCCAUUGGGGACUUGCUGCGCCACUUUGAAGCGAAACACGGGAUCGUCGCGAGGCGUGACAAGUUAAAGUUCAAUUUGUUGAAAGGUGCACGGUCCUCAAAAAGCUUGCGCACCAACUGCACUGAUCAAAGCUAUGCAACUCAGAGUACUCCUGGAGAAGCGGCAAUCAGUUCAUUGCAUGACGUUUCAUCGACAGCUCAGAUUACCUUUUUUUCUGUAAUAAGCUGCAUGAGACUGUCACUGCGACAGUCUCGUGCAGUGUCGGUAAGAAUCCAGCGACUGGAGGGAGGCUAAGGAUGGCAGAGAGCAUGUUCGCUUCAUUCUCCACGACGGACCCAAGGGACGAGAUGAGGGUGUCCUGAAAAGGUAUUACUACUGCCACCGCUCUGGAUCAUUUCAGAGCAAGAGGUAAAUGACAACUGAGAACCCAGGGCACUUGUAAGACUAAUGUGCAAUGCUUAGCCACAAUUCAAGCUACAGAGAAAGAUGGCAAGGUGACAGUAGAGUACCAGGCAGAACACUACGGCCACCCGAAGGAACUGAAGCACCAGCGCCUCUUUACGACUGAGAAGGAGGCUUUAGCUGAUAAACUAAAGCAAGGCAUCCCCGCCCGUAAAGAUCUGGUAGACGCACAUUCUUCUGCUGGCAGUGAGAUGGGCAGGCUACAUUUGCUCUCAAUGAAAGACAUUGGCAACAUCUCCGCCAAGCAUGAAAUUUUGACGAAAGAGCUACGGCACUGAACAAAGUCAGAUUCCCCAGUCCUGUACUGACAUGGAGGAAGGAAAACAAAAAGAGAGCUUUGAGCUUGCCCUGAUGACUGUCCCUCAGAAAGAACGCCUCACAAAGCUUGGCCCCAAGUUUCUGUGCAUUGACUACACUCAUAAUAUAAAUGGCCACAAUCUGCAACUGAAGACUCAUGACAGCUGCAGAAGAUCAGUCAGGCAUGCCAUGCACAUAUUUGAUCUCAAAGUAACUAGACACCAAGGCUAUGAAACACUCCUUAAGGCCAUAAAGGUAAUGCAUGGGAGGAAGUGAUGGGCUGUGCCCAACAUUGGAUGCUCUGCUCGUGGCAUGUAAGCCACGACUGGGCUCUGAAGUUGCAGUCAGUCCAAGAUAUAAGCAAACCCGUGACCGUCUUUGCGACGAGUUGUGGGCGCUGAGAAAUUGCAAAGAUGAGGGUCAAUUCCAACGACCUCCGACAGGCUUCCCGUGUCAGAAACUAAGUGAAGAGGCUGAUCCAAAACUAAUUCAACAAGUACAGGAGUUUCUUCAGUACUUUGGGCACUACCAUGGUGGCAGAGCCUAACAGUGGGCGCUCUGCUUCAGAAAGGGCAUUCCUUUUAAUACUACCAACCACUUGGAGGCAAUGUACAAGGACCUGAAGUCACGCUAAUGCAUGGAACUCACAACCAGAGGCUUGACAAGCUGUUGAUGAUCCUCUUCGAACUGAGCCGUGACCGGCUCUACAAGCGUCCCAAGUCGCUCGUAAAAGGAAAAACGAAUCGGCAUGAUGCAGCCCUUUUUCGGAGGCACCAGGAGGGGAUGAAAAUUCCAGCAUCAGAUGUAGAACAGCUGCAAAAUGGCAAUGGCUGACUUGUAAAGUCUCAGUCCCAGACAGAGAGAAGCUACCAUGUUGAGAAGGGCGACCCCCGCCAGAGUUGCGUGCUUCGUUGCAGGGACUGUGAUAUCUUUAUCGACAGUUACAAGUGCACUUGCAAUGACAGCCUGAUUUCAUCAUCAAUGUGCAAGCAUAUUCACGCAGUAGCUUACCUGGGGAUUCAUGUGACGACCGUGGAGGAGGCCGACACUGAGCCAGGUGUAGAAAUGCCAUCAACAACACGUGAAGCAACAGGCUUUACGUUAGAUGAUGAGCCACAGUCCCUCUUGAUGACAUUCGGCAGGGUAUUGAGUUUGGGAUGGAGAAGACUCAACCAAAUUCAAAGGACAACAUAUGUUUAACAAUAAGUGGACUGAACAAGUCCCUCUCCAGGAAGAAAUUGACAAGCUCUUCAAGCUCCCUGGUGUUGAAAUACCGUACCAAGGCCCAAGAAGUACUUGACUCUGUUCCAGAUGAGACUUCUCCAAAACCUAGGGUAAUCCCUCACAAAAAAAAGAUGGAAAAACAACCACGGUACUUUCCCCCCCAAAAGACGCCCUGGUUCUGGUCCCAUGCAUGGCAAACCUCCCACCAGCUUGGAGCAGCAGCACAUCAUGCAGGGCCUUGUAGCCAGAGGGAGUGACCACUGGCGACCACAAGCAUGAGGAUCUGCUACAGGAAGCAUAAUCAUGUACCUGGACCUCGAGACCGGUGGCCUUGGAGAUGUCAGCAAGGCUACGGGGUGAUUUGCUCACCGCGAGGCUGUGCAAUUUAGUGGCAUGGAACUAGUGCCUCAUUUCGGAGAUCUCCAUGGCGAGUGAACAGUGUAAGGCUGGUGGGGCAAGAAGUUUAUUGGAAGGUUUUGUCAUGCCAUGGUGAUCAACAUUCAUGACAGGUUCAUCUGCCGAACUAGCUAUGCAAUAGAGGCAAGCCUGCUAAGUCACUGGGAUUAGUCGUCAGUGUGUGGCGCAGAGGACUUCUAGGGACAAGUCCAGGAGACGAACAUGCAAUAUUUAUAUUCUGUCUAUAUUUUGGUGAACCAAUGUUACUGUUGACAUUUAAGUGUGGGACAUUUCGCUUCUGCGGCAAAAGAUAUGUCAGGUGUGUAAUGGGGUCCCACAAAAAAUACCUAUGCUUUGUCUUGAGCUAUGUUCAUAGAGACAUGGCAAGGGGGGGCCAGAAGACUGAUGAAAGUUGUGCCGGUGAUGGUCACAGUUUGGGAGAUGUUGCGGAUGGCUAUGUGAUGGGGUGCUGUGACCUUUGAUGGACAACUGUUUCACUGAGUCAAACUGUGGCAGUGUUUCUGCUAUCUUGAGAGGCAGCAUGGUAACGCAUCAACACAGUGACAGAUUUUACUUUAAACUCAAAAUGGGGCACAGGAAUAAAACAACUUGCUUGCCUCAUCGAGGCACGUCUUCAAA